AACGAACGCUGGCGGCAUGCCUAACACAUGCAAGUCGAACGAGACCUUCGGGUCUAGUGGCGCACGGGUGCGUAACGCGUGGGAACCUGCCCUUAGGUUCGGAAUAACUCCCCGAAAGGGGUGCUAGUACCGGAUAAUGUCUUCGGACCAAAGAUUUAUCGCCUUUGGAUGGGCCCGCGUUGGAUUAGCUAGUUGGUAGGGUAAAAGCCUACCAAGGCGACGAUCCAUAGCUGGUCUGAGAGGAUGAUCAGCCACACUGGGACUGAGACACAGCCCAGACUCCUACGGGAGGCAGCAGUGGGGAAUAUUGGACAAUGGGCGAAAGCCUGAUCCAGCAAUGCCGCGUGAGUGAUGAAGGCCUUAGGGUUGUAAAGCUCUUUUACCCGGGAUGAUAAUGACAGUACCGGGAGAAUAAGCUCCGGCUAACUCCGU
rnacentral:rRNA from 1 species